rnacentral:tRNA from 1 species
GGGUGAUUAGCUCAACGGCAGAGCAUCGGACUCUUAAUCCGCUGGUUUAGGGUUCAAAUCCCUAAUCACCCA